UUUCAUACAACCCUCAUCAAAUCUAGAGAGAGAAAGAGACACAUCUCCAUCGUUUCUCUCUUGCUUGUCUAUCUACCUUGUCCUCUAAUUGAUUUGGUUUUGUUUUCAGGGAGAUUUAAUUUGCUGAAAGAUCAAGACCAUGACCACGACCAGUUACGCCCCUGAUGACGUUGAUGGUGAGUUAUGUAUCAGAGAUUCAGAGCAAGCCCUAGCCCUAGAUUUCAAUAAUGUCAUCUAAGCAAGAGGUGAGCUAGCUAAGCUCAAUACAGAAGGUUGGACAAUUUCAGAAGCUGCGACUAAACCAGCUGCAAUGGAAUCUCAGCUUUGAUUAUGUUGAUUAUGAUCAUGAUGGUUUCCGUAUAACUGAUUUAGAAUUUUUUUUAUAUAUAAUCAGGUCUACCACAAACGUGACAUGAUAUGAAUAUUUAAAUGUGUAAUACCCUUGCUAAAAUUUUAAAUUAACAGAUUGUUGAGCUUCAUGGUGACCUGGCGGGUUAUGAAGAUGCUACAAUAGUGACCAGAAUUGGAACAAUAGAUGGCGGGCGAAACAACUCAUGAUCCGGUUAGAAACAACUAUGUGUGUUACAAACAACUCUUUUUCUGUAAUAGUGAGGGGUUGUUUGACAACUUCUGAAUGGUUAAGUGCUGAGCCAAUAAGAGGUCUGAACCAUUAAGUGCUGAAUCAGUAAGAUGUCUGAACCAUUAAGAGCCAGUAUAAUGCUCAACUGUUUAGAGGCAAAUGUCUGACCAAUUCAGAUUUGAGGUCUUAAUCAUUCAGACUUAGUAUAAUGCUUAACCAUUCAGAGGCAAAUGUCUGAACCAUUCAGACAUCUACUCUCGAAACAAAUAGUCUGAACCAUUAAGUUCUGAACCAGUAAGAUGUCUGAACCAUUAAGAGUCUCAUUUAAAAGGUAAACAAACGGCCCUGAGUUACAUAUUUAAGGUAUACAAAGAGGAAGAUGAUAAGCUACUAUGUGUGUUAGAAACAACUCUUUUUCUAUAAUAACAAAUUUUGGAUUGCUCUUCACUUUUAUAAUAGAGACAAUCUGCAAUUCUAAUAAUGGUCUUGGUGUAAUUUGAAAGCUUGGAUUCAUCGUCUGGUUAUCUCUAAUUUUCAUCUUGGCAUAAGGGAUCAAGGGGUAGGCUCAAUUGGGUACCCCUACCCGAUUUGAUUGGAAAUUUUGGUUUAAUAAUAUUGGAAAAAGCUUGGCUAGAAAAGUAUCUUUUUAAGUUGGCCAACUAAAAUUUCAGAGCAAACUUUUAAAAAGUCAAUGACAGUUAACCGGCGAGGGUUAGUGGGGUUAACAAGUGUGCUUACAAGCGUGAUAAAUUUGAGAGGGGUUGCUAUUGCUUAUUAUUUUGGGUAGGGUUGUAAACGAACCGAACGUUCAGCGAACAGUUCGUGAACCGUUCGGUGGGAAGUUCGUUUAUGUUCGUUCGUUUAAUAAACGAACGAACAUGAACAAGAAAUUCUGUUCGAUUAGUUAAAUGAACGAACAUGAACAGAGGUCUUGUUCGUUCGAUUGUGUUCGUGAACGUUCGGUAAGGUGUUCGUGAACGUGUUUGUGAACAUGUUCAUGAACAUUCGUUGAUUUGAGUUCGUUUAUGUUUGUAUAUUUGUGUUUUAAUUGAAGAUCUUUGUACUUUGUUAUAUUUUAUUUGUACUUUGUAUAUUAUUAAACUUUUAUUUAUUUUAUUAACCUAACAAUUAAACUAGGAAACCCACUUUCACCUUGUUUAUGUAUCACUAGGUUAUCACCCGGGUGCUACCCGGGUCGGAGAAAACUAUUAAGAUAAAUAUCAAAUGUAUAAAUAAAAUAAAAUACAAAGUCCCAUGUUACAUAAAUUAGUGAUAAAGUGAUAUACAAUUUAAAGACAGUCGAGUACUCGAGUCCCUUUGAAGAUGCAUAUCCUUCGAGUUACAAAAUUGAGUUCCCUCUACAAAAAAAAACCAACCAAAUUAUAAGUGUUUAAAUAUAUAAUAUAAACUUUAGUGUCGAUACUAUAUAAUAUAAACUUUGGUGUCGAUACUAAGCUUGUUGAGAUAUUGGGACAAAAACGCACCAAGUUACUUAGGUAUAUAUAAUUCUUAAUACAAUCACACUAUUUCAAUCAUAAAAUCAACUAAACUUUAUAUAAUUGUUUCACAUCAAUCUUAAAUGAAUCAAAUACUCUAAUUGACAAUAUGGUUUGAAACCUGUACAAUCAUAUCUUGAUAACUUGAUGUAUUUCGAUGAUCAACCUCCAACUUCAACAACUUCCCUUUGAUAUGUUGCUUCAAAUCCAUAAUUGAUUACCAGUUGGACCCAUUCCAAAUUAUCUGACCAAACUAAGUCUAUGGUAAAUGUGUGCUUGUAAAGUGAAAAAACACAUCCAUUAUUCAAAAAUACUUUCAAGCCAUUCAAUAGCUUUAAACCUUGUCAU
rnacentral:lncRNA from 1 species